rnacentral:lncRNA from 1 species
AAGAACAAAAGCAUACUCGCAAACCCAGGAAGCCUUUGUCCUUUGGAAUGGAGGAGCAGUUGUAAUAUUCAAGGGGGACAUCGAGCUAAAAAAUGGAAAAAUGGCGGACCAUAGCCAGAAGCCUCGGACAUGUCCAUCUUAAUGUGGAACCAAUAUUUGAGCCAAUCAUCAUCCCAUCUAUUCUUUUGUGCCAUGGAGAGCUCAACCUAGGAAAUUUUCUUGCUCUCGUUCUUCCUUCCGUGAACGUGCAACAACCAAACUAUGUCUCAAAAAAUCCAUCUUCAUCAUCAAACUCGAC